rnacentral:rRNA from 1 species
AUUGAACGCUGGCGGCAGGCCUAACACAUGCAAGUCGAACGAGUGGCGGACGGGUGAGUAAUGUCUGAAAAUCUGCCUGGUGGAGGGAGAUAACUACUGGAAGCGGUCGCUAAUACCGCAUACCAUCAGAUGUGCCCAUGUGGGAUUAGCUUGUUGGUGGGGUAGGGGCUCACCAAGGCGACGAUCCCUAGCUGGUCUGAGAGGAUGACCAGCCACACUGGAACUGAGACACGGUCCAGACUCCUACGGGAGGCAGCAAUGGGGAAUAUUGCACAAUGGGCGCAAGCCUGAUACAGCCAUGCCGCGUGUAUGAAGAAGGCCUUCGGGUUGUAAAGUACUUUCAGCGGGGAGGCGUUACCCGCAGAAGAAGCACCGGCUAACUCCGUGCCAGCAGCCGCGGUAAUAC